UGGGUUGGGAUGAUUCCACCAUUAAUUUUCCCUUGAUUUUUCGUCUCUGAUGAUCUGAUCUAGUUUGAACAGCAGGAAAUAAACGCUUCGUCAGCAACUGGAUUGAUCUUCAUUACUCUCCCGUCACAAUUUUGACCAGACUAGGAACCUGCUGAUCAUCAAAUGAAUCGUUAGCAUACUUGCAUAUUGGGCUCGAUACGAAAAUACAAAUCAUUACCUGGUGGAAUUCGUCCCAAAUUCCAGUUAAUUUUGAUUGCAAUUCGAAGGAGAGACAAAAAUAUUCACAAAAUCCUACAGAGAUUCCACCAUUCAGGUGGUUCAAAAGGGGAUUUUUCACAAUAAUU
rnacentral:lncRNA from 1 species